GACGAACGCUGGCGGCGUGCUUAACACAUGCAAGUCGAGCGGUAAGGCCCUUCGGGUACGACGAGCGGCGAACGGGUGAGUAACACGUGGGUGACCUGCCUCUAGCUCUGGGAUAAGCCUGGGAAACUGGGUCUAAUACCGGAUAUGACUCCACGGCGCAUGUUGUGGGGUGGAAAGCCUUGUGUGGCUAGAGAUGGGCCCGCGGCCUAUCAGCUUGUUGGUGGGGUGAUGGCCUACCAAGGCGACGACGGGUAGCCGGCCUGAGAGGGCGACCGGCCACACUGGGACUGAGACACGGCCCAGACUCCUACGGGAGGGCAGCAGUGGGGAAUCUUGCGCAAUGGGCGAAAGCCUGACGCAGCGACGCCGCGUGAGGGAUGACGGCCU
rnacentral:rRNA from 1 species